UUUACAAGCCCAAGCCCAUUUAUUAAAACCCAUUUCACAUGCCCAGUAAUCAAAACCUAGAAACCUAGGUAAAGAUAUUUAUACCAUCUUUUCACACAUUUCAGUCUAUUUUUUCGUCGCGGCCAUAACUCAGGCAACAUACAUCAACAAUGAUCUCUUCUCCCCAAAAAAUCACCACACUAUAUGUUCAAAAAAUCCUAGAUUCCAAAAAUCCAGACGCUUGUCAUGAUGGUUUAGUCAUAUCUUC